UACGUAGGGUGCGAGCGUUGUCCGGAAUUACUGGGCGUAAAGAGCUCGUAGGUGGUUUGUCGCGUUGUCCGUGAAAACUCACAACUCAAUUGCGGGCGUGCGGGCGAUACGGGCAGACUGGAGUACUGCAGGGGAGACUGGAAUUCCUGGUGUAGCGGUGGAAUGCGCAGAUAUCAGGAGAAACACCGGUGGCGAAGGCGGGUCUCUGGGCAGUAACUGACGCUGAGGAGCGAAAGCGUGGGGAGCGAACAGG
rnacentral:rRNA from 1 species